ACUUUGCAAUCAUAGAUGGAUUUUAGGGAAUAUCUGGUGUCGCACUUUAUUGUACACUGAAAUAUUUUUAUGAAGCAUUGAGUUAUGAUGUACUUUAACGCGACUUAAAAUAAAUCCCUAUUUUUUAUUAUUUUACUCAAUUUCUCAUUCUUCUAGGUCUAUUAUUAAACAUACAACCUAGAAAUAGUUUUGCGAUCAUUAUUUUUUUUAAAGAAUUCGAAGUUUAUUCAGAUUUUAUUUUUUAAUAUAUUUUUUUAUUAUAUUUAUUUACUCGUGUUUUGGGAGAAUAUCUUUAGAGUGUACAACCGCAACAACAACAGGUUGACCGCGGUUGACUCUGUUGUUUACCAACAAAUGUUUGACUCGGUGAUUAUUAUUUUGAUUGCUGCGAAUACGGAUUCAGAGAAAGUUCAGCGCAAAUAGUGAGGAUUUUUGGAGUUCAAUACUGAUACGGAAUGGAGGCGGAUGAGGAAGCAAGUGUGCAUACGAGUGCGGCAGCAUCCUUAGCAGGGAGCGAUGAGGAAGAUUUUUUGGUGGAGGCCCUCGAUGAAGCU